rnacentral:rRNA from 2 species
ACCGGCCACACUGGGACUGAGACACCGCCCACACUCCUACGGGAGGGAGCAAUGGGGAAUAUUGCACAAUUAGGGAAAAACCUGAUGCACCGACUCCCCCUGAGGGAGGACGGCCUUCGGGUUGUAAACCUCUUUCACCAGGGAAGAAGCACAAUUGACGGUACCUGCGGAAAAAGCACCGGCUAACUACGUG